UACGGGGGGUGCGAGCGUUGUCCGGAAUCACUGGGCGUAAAGAGCUCGUAGGCGGUCUGUCGCGUCGGCUGUGAAAACCCGGAGCUCAACUCCGGGCCUGCAGUCGAUACGGGCAAACUGGAGUACUGCAGGGGAGACUGGAAUUCCUGGUGUAGCGGUGAAAUGCGCAGAUAUCAGGAGGAACACCGGUGGCGAAGGCGGGUCUCUGGGCAGUAACUGACGCUGAGGAGCGAAAGCGUGGGGAGCGAACAGG
rnacentral:rRNA from 1 species